AAUUUUAGUGACAAUCUUGUUGUUGCUGAAGCAAAGUUUGCAGCCUUAACUACUCCUCAACUGGGUGGAAGAAAAGAAGAGUGGAGAGGCAGAAAGUAAGCAGCUGCAAAUGAGAUCUAACAACGUUUGAUGAGUUUAUGCGCUGGUUUCCAUUCCAUUCAUUCUUGAAAGUUUUAAUACCAAACUACUGCACAGAACAUGGAGAGCGAAAAGGUCUAUGAUAAGGUGACUUAGUUUAAGAUUGCAACAGCCUUGAAGAUACAGUUUCUUAAUGAAGAAGUUGCUGAGAAUUCUUUCCCACGCAAGCUACAAGUAAAAUUUGUUUUCUGAUUGAAUCUUACAUUGCAGAUAUUCAUUUGAUGGAGAUAUAUUGGCUUUUGGUUUCAUUUGAAUAUCUGAAAUUCAAAUGAUCUUUAGUGGUUACUGUCAAAACUCAAUUUUAGUGAAAACUCUUCUAAUUACCUAAAAUCUAUGAACACCAAUAAUGGUGCACCUCAAUUUUUGGUAGGAGGCGUUUUGGUUAUUGAAAUAAUGGAAU